UACGGAGGAUCCAAGCGUUAUCCGGAUUUAUUGGGUUUAAAGGGUGCGUAGGCGGCCUAUUAAGUCAGGGGUGAAAGACGGUGGCUCAACCAUCGCAGUGCCUUUGAUACUGAUAGGCUUGAAUACACUAGAGGUAGGCGGAAUGUGACAAGUAGCGGUGAAAUGCAUAGAUAUGUCACAGAACACCGAUUGCGAAGGCAGCUUACUAUGGUGUCAUUGACGCUGAGGCACGAAAGCGUGGGGGAUCAAAACAGG
rnacentral:rRNA from 1 species